GGACAGGGAUGGGGAUGCGUCUGAUUAGGUAGUUGGUGAGGUAACGGCUCACCAAGCCUUCGAUCGGUAGGGGUUCUGAGAGGAAGGUCCCCCACAUUGGAACUGAGACACGGUCCAAACUCCUACGGGAGGCAGCAGUGAGGAAUAUUGGUCAAUGGGCGAGAGCCUGAACCAGCCAAGUAGCGUGCAGGAUGACGGCCCUAUGGGUUGUAAACUGCUUUUAUAAGGGAAUAAAGUGGGGCUCGUGAGCUCCUUUGCAUGUACCUUAUGAAUAAGGACCGGCUAAUUCCGUGCCAGCAGCCGCGGUAAUACGGAAGGUCCGGGCGUUAUCCGGAUUUAUUGGGUUUAAAGGGAGCGUAGGCCGCAGGUUAAGCGUGUUGUGAAAUGUAGGGGCUCAACCUUUGCACUGCAGCGCGAACUGGCUUUCUUGAGUACGCACAACGUGGGCGGAAUUCGUGGUGUAGCGGUGAAAUGCUUAGAUGUCAUGAAGAACUCCGAUUGCGAAGGCAGCUCACGGGAGCGCAACUGACGCUGAAGCUCGAAAGUGCGGGUAUCGAACAGGAUUAGAUACCCUGGUAGUCCGCACGGUAAACGAUGGAUGCCCGCUGUUGGCUUGAACUAGUCAGCGGCCAAGCGAAAGCAUCAAGCAUCCCACCUGGGGAGUACGCCGGCAACGGUGCAACUCAAAGGAAUUGACGGA
rnacentral:rRNA from 1 species